AUGUUGGCCGCCCUCUGGCCCGGCGAAGUGGUUCCCCGCACCCCUAGUCGGACUGCCGACCGGCUGGAGGUGGCAGUCGGCCGCUUCGAAGCCUGGAAGGCUUCGGCGGCUCGGUCCGGCGCCAGGCGGGCGCUGGAGUUCGUCAAGGCCUGGUAUCCCAGCCUGAGUCUGGACCAGCUGGCUACCUGGCGGCAGCAGGCCGACACGGAGCUGGAGCUGGCGCGGCCGGCUAUCAUCCGGCGGGCUUCGGCGAUCGCCGACUACACCGACACCAGCGCCUUCGCCCCUGAGGUAGAUGACAACGGUGUUGCUCAGCCGGAGGAAUGGUUCGGGCUGAACCCGGCAGACGGCGAAGACUCGGCGGAGGAGAUCGACUCCAACGAUGAGGGCGAAGAAGAGGAGGAGGAGGGUGAAGACGCCGGGCCGGAUGGUGGGGCGGCCGGCCAGCCUCAGCUUGACCGUGCCUCCAGCAACACGUCACGCGUGGGUGAUUCGCCUGCCACCGGCGGUGAUCAAGCCGAGACCCGCCAGCCGGCCACUCCUUUAGCUGGCGACGCCGUCUCCACCGACCAACCCGGCUCCCACAUCGCACCUUUAGUCUAG
rnacentral:rRNA from 1 species